GAUGAACGCUAGCGACAGGCUUAACACAUGCAAGUCGAGGGGCAGCGGAGGUGAGUGCUUGCACUUGCCAGACGGCGACCGGCGCACGGGUGAGUAACACGUAUGCGACCUGCCCGUAGCAGGGGGAUAAGCGGAAGAAAUUCCGUCUAAUACCGCGUAAUAUCUUUCGGGGGCAUCCCUGAGAGAUUAAAGGAAGCGAUUCCGGCUACGGAUGGGCAUGCGGCGCAGUAGCUAGUCGGCGGGGUAACGGCCCACCGAGGCGACGAUGCGUAGGGGUUCUGAGAGGAAGGUCCCCCACACUGGUACUGAGACACGGACCAG
rnacentral:rRNA from 1 species